rnacentral:rRNA from 1 species
GACGAACGCUGGCGGCGUGCUUAACACAUGCAAGUCGAACGGAAAGGCCCCCAUCUUGGUGGGGGUGCUCGAGUGGCGAACGGGUGAGUAACACGUGGGUGAUCUGCCCUGUACUUCGGGAUAAGCUUGGGAAACUGGGUCUAAUACCGGAUAGGACCAUGGUUUAGUGUCUCAUGGUGGAAAGAUUAUUGUUUUGGUGCAGGAUGAGCUCGCGGCCUAUCAGCUUGUUGGUGGGGUAAUGGCCUACCAAGGCGUCGACGGGUAGCCGGCCUGGGAGGGUGGACGGCCACAUUGGGACUGAGAUACGGCCCAGACUCCUACGGGAGGCAGCAGUGGGGAAUAUUGCACAAUGGGCGCAAGCCUGAUGCAGCGACGCCGCGUGGGGGAUGACGGCCUUCGGGUUGUAAACUCCUUUCGGUAGGGACGAAGCCACGCUUGUUGGGUGUGGUGACGGUACCUUUGUUAAGAAGCACCGGCUAACUACGUG